CCUACGGGAGGCUGCAGUGAGGAAUAUUGGUCAAUGGGCGGGCGCCUGAACCAGCCAAGUCGCGUGAGGGAAGACUGCACUGUGGGUUGUAAACCUCUUUUGUCAGGGAGCAACGCCGGCUACGUGUAGCCGGACGGAGAGAACCGGAAGAAAAAGCAUCGGCAAACUCCGUGCCAGCAGCCGCGGUAAUACGGAGGAUGCGGGCGUUAUCCGGAUUUGUUGGGUUUAAAGGGUGCGUAGGCGGAAUGCCAAGUCAGCGGUAAAAUCGCGGGGCUCAACCCCGCUCCGCCGUUGAAACUGGCGUUCUUGAGUGGGCGAGAGGUAUGCGGAAUGCGUGGUGUAGCGGUGAAAUGCAUAGAUAUCGCGCAGAACUCCGAUUGCGAAGGCAGCAUACCGGCGCCGAACUGACGCUGAGGCACGAAAGCGUGGGUAUCGAACAGGAUUAGAUACCCUGGUAGUC
rnacentral:rRNA from 1 species